CCUAAAUAAACUAUUUGCAGCCUAUUUAGCUCAUCUAUAUUGGGCCAUAAUUACUUAUUUAUUUAAUUACUUUUUGGGCUAGAUUUUUAAAAGAGCCCAUAACAUUUUAAUAGCUUAAUGGAAUAAUUCUUUUGUUUGUACUGUUUCCUAAUCUUGUGACUGCAAUACGUGUUUCCUUUCUCAAGAAGCCACAAUUUGUUUUCCAUUUUCAGCUUGUGACUGCAAUACGUGUUUCCUUUCUCAAGAAACCACAAUUUGUUUUCCAUUUUCAGCCAGCCAAAUUUGAUUUCUUUCCGUAAUAUUUGAUAAACACAGCAGCACGUAAGAUUUGAUCAACACAGCAACAAACUUUGAUUUCAAACUUUGAUUUCUACCGCAGCAAACUUUGAUUUCUUUCACACAGUAGUUGACGAACAAGUAAUUCAAUCUAUUUAAACCUCAUUGCAUCAUCCUCAAUUCAUCAUCACCAAUUCGUUUUCCUCGUUUGUUUUCUUACACCAACUUCUCGUCUGUUCAUUUUCGCUCAAGUGGUGCGGCGCGACUAGGAUAUGAAUUUUAAUUGUAUUACUCAAGUUAGCAUUCAAGUUGAAGUUCAAGUUCAAGUUAAAUUUCCAGUUUCAGGUGAUUGAUAUUGGAGGCGCGUGGAGAGUCGAAUGGGCGCGUCGAAUCUAUUUAAAAUAAAUGUUUUUCAAAACAUAUUAUGUUAUUUCAUGUUAUAUCUUUUGGUUAUGUAAACUCUGAAAUUCUAUACUAUUUGAGAUUUGUGUGUGAUUUAUUUAAAUAAAUGUUGUUAUAUUAUUUUAAUGUCA